rnacentral:rRNA from 1 species
ACGGCUCAGUAACACGUAGUCAACCUAACCUAUGGACGGGAAUAACCACGGGAAACUGACAAUAAUGCCCGAUAGAACACUGUACCUGGAAUGGUUUGUGUUCCAAAUGAUUUAUCGCCAUAGGAUGGGACUGCGGCCUAUCAGUUUGUUGGUGAGGUAAUGGCCCACCAAGACUAUUACAGGUACGGGCUCUGAGAGGAGUAGCCCGGAGAUGGGUACUGAGACACGGACCCAGGCCCUAUGGGGCGCAGCAGGCGAGAAAACUUUGCAAUGUGCGAAAGCACGACAAGGUUAAUCCGAGUGAUUUGUGCUAAACGAAUCUUUUGUUAGUCCUAGAAACACUAACGAAUAAGGGGUGGGCAAGUUCUGGUGUCAGCCGCCGCGGUAAAACCAGCACCUCAAGUGGUCAGGAUGAUUAUUGGGCCUAAAGCAUCCGUAGCCGGCUCUGUAAGUUUUCGGUUAAAUCUGUACGCUUAACGUACAGGCUGCCGGGAAUACUGCAGAGCUAGGGAGUGGGAGAGGUAGACGGUACUCGGUAGGAAGUGGUAAAAUGCUUUGAUCUAUCGAUGACCACCUGUGGCGAAGGCGGUCUACCAGAACACGUCCGACGGUGAGGGAUGAAAGCUGGGGGAGCAAACCGGAUUAGAUACCCGGGUAGUCCCAGCUGUAAACUAUGCAAACUCAGUGAUGCAUUGGCUUGUGGCCAAUGCAGUGCUGCAGGGAAGCCGUUAAGUUUGCCGCCUGGGAAGUACGUACGCAAGUAUGAAACUUAAAGGAAUUGGCGGGGGAGCAC